AGUGAACGCUGGCGGUAGGCCUAACACAUGCAAGUCGAAUGGCAGCACAGUAAGAGCUUGCUCUUACGGGUGGCGAGUGGCGGACGGGUGAGGAAUACAUCGGAAUCUACUUUUUCGUGGGGGAUAACGUAGGGAAACUUACGCUAAUACCGCAUACGACCUACGGGUGAAAUCAGGGGAUCUUCGGACCUUGCGCGAUUGAAUGAGCCGAUGUCGGAUUAGCCAGUUGGCGGGGUAAAGGCCCACCAAGGCGACGAUCCGUAGCUGGUCUGAGAGGAUGAUCAGCCACACUGGAACUGAGACACGGUCCAGACUCCUACGGGAGGCAGCAGUGGGGAAUAUUGGACAAUGGGCGCAAGCCUGAUCCAGCCAUACCGCGUGGGUGAAGAAGGCCUUCGGGUUGUAAAGCCCUUUUGUUGGGAAAGAAAAGCAGCAGGUUAAUACCCCGCUGUUCUGACGGUACCCAAAGAAUAAGCACCGGCUAACUUCGUG
rnacentral:rRNA from 1 species